rnacentral:misc_RNA from 1 species
CCGAGUUAUCCAACUCCCAACCCCUGUGAGUUAUACCUUUAAUUGUUGCUUCGGCGGGACUUCGCGCCCGCCGGGGACCCAAACCUUCUGAAUUUUUUAAUAAGCAUCUUCUGAGUGGUUAAAAAAAUGAAUCA